ACCAGAAGUCAGAUUCUGAGGUCUCAGAAGGCCUUGGAAGUUGCAUGGGGGCCCUGCGGUGUGGGUGAUGAGCACCCACAACAAAACUUUUAUGGGUGCUCAGGCACCCAUAGCUCCCCAUAGUUGGCACCCCUGAUGUGAUGACAGGCAUUGAGCCAGUUACUGCUGCAAAGUGCAAGGGUAGAAGUUUGUACCCUGCAAGAAGAUGCUUGCUUCACUGAGACAGGCAAGGAGCGAUGCCCAGCUGAUCGCCAGCCAAUGUGCCAAUGACUACUGGCUAAAGCUGUGUCAAAGCAUUCAACUUACUGCUGAUAGUAGCAACACUUGCAAAAUGUACAAAAGCAUGAAGAAAAGCCUUUGGGCCAAUAGUCAGGAAAACUGCACUGCUGAGAACUGCUCUGAGAGACAAUCACAGACUGCAGCAAGCAGAUGAAGCGAUGGGCAGAGCACUGUCAAGAACUGUACUCAUGGGAAUGCAUGGCCGCUGACACAGCAGUCAACAGUGUCCAGACUCUGUGGGUCUUGGGACAGCUGGAUGUCCCUUCCUGUCAUUAUAAGCUGAAGAACGCCAUCAAGUCUCAGGCAUGUGGUAAAGCCCCAGGACAGGAAGGAAUCCCGACAGAAGUGCUGAAAGCCAACUUCAAUUCCUCCCGAAUGACGCACAUCCUACAAUAAGACAUGUCUUUCCAUGUUUCAGUCUCUACAGCCGCAGCAGGUGUUGCAGCUUUCCAGUGGUUUGACUUAACCCUUGAGGGUCUGCUCUUUCAUUGGUCUCCCAAGGCAGACAGACGCCAACAACUCCAUUGUUUAUCUCUGUUUUCAGAUGUUAGUCUCUCUGUUUCCUUCCAUAGAGUAAGCCAUCCUUGAAAUAUUUAUAUUGAAUGUUGGACUGUACAUUUUAUAAAACAAUGAAACAUACAAAUCAACAAGGUGAUAUGAUAAAGGCAUAUGGUCUGCUGUGGUGUGCUAACUCAUUCCACUGUCAUUGUAUUAUACAGGUGUUGCAGGCUUUCAUAGCACUUUCCAAACCUGCCACACCUCCAGGGCCUUUCCACCCAUGAGGCAAGGUGAGGCAAUUACCUCAGGAUGGCAGGCUCUGGAUAACUUAGAAAGACUGCCUGGUCCUCCUCCACUGCACACCCACAGUCUGCACGCCCACUGCCAACACUGGAAGGCAGAGGGCAGACACACAAGAGCGGGUGUACAGUGGGCAUGGAGCUGUUGCACGGAGGAGGAGGUGGUGGUGUGUGAAUGCACCUGCUACAGGAGAUGGGUGCAUAACAACAGGUGCACAGUCAAGAAGGAGGUGGAGGGGAGAGGGAAAGGUGGCAUUUUUGGUUUUGCCUCUAGUGGGCCAUCCAGGGCCAGUCCUGCAAACCUCUUUGUCUACAGGCAUUGAAAAUGAGUGUGUAUGCCAUAGGCAAUGUUGUCUCUCCUAUCCCACUUUCAUCUUCCUCUUAAUAACUCUUGUCAGUUUCAGCCCCCACUAACAUUUUAAGGAACCUGGAGGAUAUCCUAAAAAUCUUUAAACGGUUUCAUUGGCUCUCUGUAUCAUGCCACAUCCCAUUUCUACAGAAGGAUUUGUCAGGGAGGGGGGCAGAAAAAGAAGUAUCAAGUGUUUAAUGUGUUGUUGAUUUUUCAGGGGUGCCUAUGCAUAAGUUAAAAGGGCAUUAAGAUGCUAAAUCAGAACAGCAGAGCACGAGACACCUGUCUGCAAGCAAAGACAGCAGAUGCAGAGAAAGCUGGAAAUUUCUGGCCAAAUGGGAAUAGCUGAAAGAACCAAGACACUGAGAUAGGUAUUGCCUAUGAGAUGAGUCCAUGAAUAAAUUGACUGGAAUUCAUAUGGAUGUUAAUUUGUGACAUCCCAAUAAAGGCACUGUGCUACCCAGCUUAGAACCAGAUUCUCUACUGUUUGUAUCACCAAAGGCCCCUGUGCAAAGGGGAGGCAUGCAGUUGGUUCAAGAUGGGGUGUGAACACAACAAGGAGCAAUCCUUCCAGUAAUAAGAAUCAACUAAACCCUGGAAGCCAAUUCAAUGCUACUUACUGAUCAGCUGGUGUUAAGGUAUGUUGUACUCCUAUAGUUUAUUUUGUCAGGUGUGAGAGAAUUUGCAGACAAAUACAACAGGGAACCUUGUACUCAGGAGCAAAGGGUAGCCCCUAGGCCUCUUUAACAAAUGAAUUAAAUACAUAAACAUAUAAUCUCUUUUGACUUCCACCCCCAUUGUUAAUCUUAAUGUAAUGAUUUCCCCUUCCACAUGUCUUUUAUAACUCUAUUUUUAUAAAUCCUUUGUCAAUCCAUAGUUUGAAAUUUUACAAGUUUUCUGUCAAUCCUACCAAUGUAUGUAAUUGUUUUCAACGGCUUUUCAAAUAAAUUAUAAACAUUCCCCAUUCUUUAUUAAAGACCUCUUCUUCCUGAUUUCUAAUUCUUCCUGUAAGCUUUGCCAUCUCUGCAUAGUUCAUCAAUUUUGUCUGCCACUCUUCUUUCCAUUUCUGGGCUAACAGAGUCUGCGCAGCUGUGGUUGCGUACAUAAAUAGUUUCGUCUGGUCAUUUGGGAUCUCUGGUUCUAUAAUGCCUGAAAGAAAAGCUUCUGGUUUCUUAGGAAAAGUUAUUUUCAACAUUUCUUUCAGUUCAUUAUAUAUCAUAUCCCAGAAGUAUUUUAUCAUCUUAUAUGACCACCACAUAUGAUAAAAAAUACCCUCUUUUUCUUUUUCUUUACAUUUCCAGCAAUUUUAGACUUUGAUUUGUAUAGCUAUAUGGCUGGAUAGUGGAUGUGGGUGGCGCUGUGGGUUAAACCACAGAGCCUAGGACUUGCCAAUCAGAAGGUCGGUGGUUCGAAUCCCCGUGACGGGGUGAGCUCCCGUUGCUCAGUCCCUGCUCCUGCCAACCUAGCAGUUCGAAAGCACGUCAAAGUGCUAGUAGAUAAAUAGGUACUGCUCUGGCAGGAAGGUACGGCAUUUCUGUGUGCUGCUCUGGUUCGCCAGAAACGGCUUAGUCAUGCUGGCCACAUGACCCGGAAGCUGUAUGCCGGCUCCCUCGGCCAGUAAAGCGAGAUGAGCGCCGCAAUCCCAGAGGCGGUCACGACUGGACCUAAUGGUCAGGGGUCCCUUUACCUUUACCUAUGGCUGGAUAGUGUUCUCGAAGCUACCAGCAUGAGUUUGACCAAACUGCGGGAGGCAGUGGAAGACAGGAGUGCCUGGCGUGCUCUGGUCCAUGGGGUCACGAAGAGUCGGACACGACUAAACGACUAAACAACAACAACAACAACAACAUGGCCCUCAAACAUGUCCCCAGGCCACACUCCUCAUCGGGGUGCUUGGCCCCCUGCUCCCUCUCUGAUGCUACACAUUUAACCACUUUAUUUUUAACUGUAUUCAUUUAAGCGUUUUGGUGUUUGCCUCCCAGGGCUUCUGUGCCCAGGAUAUAACCAAUAACACAUGCAUAGUUCAGUUGGUAGAGCACAAGACUCUUAAUCCUGGGGUCAUAAGUUCGAGCCCCACAUUGGGCCAAAGAUUCCUGCAUUGCAAGGGGUUGGACCAGAUGACCCUCAUGGUCCCUUCCAUCUAUACAAUUCUAUGAUUCUGUGAAGCAAAUCUUUUCCAUUAAUUAUAUGGUGCCACCCCUUAGUUCCAGUGUCCUUCUGCAGCUCAGCUUACAACCAACCCUAGGAACAGGCAGCUGAUGCAUUCAUUCAUUUAUAUCUUGCCUUUUUCCCUGACAGGAACUUAAGGCAGCUUACAGGUGAACUGCUUAUUGCUCAGGCAGGCCUUUGAAAACAAAGGUGCAGAUAGUGCUUACCGCUGGGCUGCUGUCAGGGCAAACUGUAAUUUCUUAUUCUAAAUGUGUUCUGAUGUAUUUCAAUUACUGUUUGUCAUAGAAUCAUAGAACCAGAAGGGUUCUAUGAAGUUGGAAGGGACCCCAAGGGUCAUCUAGUUCAGCUCCCUGCGAUGCAGGAAUCACAGCUAAAGGAUCUCUAUGACUAGUUUAUUUUUUAUUACUUUGCAUUUUAUAAUGUUAAUUUUAAAUGGAGUUAGCUGCCUAGAAUCCCAGCUUGGGAGAAAAGUGGGAUAUAAAUUCAAUAAGUAAUAAUAAAUGUGCAUUCAUGAGCUGUGUUCAUGUUCUCGUCCCCAAAUGCAGCUCCCUAGCAUUCCACCUCUCAUUUGGAAGGCAGGUUAACCUUCACCACCCAACCUGAGCCUUGCUGCUCCCAUCUCUCUCACCUAGGAGCAAGGUAAUAACAAUUAAUGUGGUUUCUUCAGCAACCUCUGUCUGUCUGUGGAAUGGAUUUCUCCUCUCCCUACAGCCCUGCACCUCCAAAUCUGCUACAGAGGGUUGUGGGGUCCUCGAGAGCUAAUUUGUGGGAUUCUGUGGGAGGAGGAGAGGAAGGGGAAGUCCCAUGGCAUGAGCAGAAGUCUGCUUGUGUGGCAUUGGAUAUAACCCAAUAAAGAACAUAACACACAGUGGAUAUCAACAAACCUACUCUAAAAAUUAACAAUCGGUUCUAACAGUGCAAUCCUGCAUGUCUACUCAGGGGGAAGCCCCACUGGGUUCAAUGGCAUUUACUCCCGUGAAACUACUGAAGGCCGCAUACAGUAUACUACUAGAAUGGGAGAUGAAAGAUGAAGAGGUAAAAUCAGUCAUGAUCAAAUGGGCACAAGAUAUAGGUCAUAAUAUUAUGAUGGAAGAUUAGGAAUGGUUAUGGAAAACCGAUUUAAAAUUUACAUUGUUCUUUGCUGAAAGAAAAUUAUAUGAAGAUGAUGUAUAGAUGGUAUAUGACACCAGUGCAAUUAGGAAAAAUGUAUAAAACAAGCUCAAAUAUGUGUUGGAAGUGUAAAGAAAAGGAGGGGACAUUUUACCAUAUGUGGUGGGACUGUAAUGAGAUUUUUAAAAAUUGGGAAAUGAUAUACAAUGAAUUGAAGAAAAUGUUCCAUCUAACAUUUGUUUAAAAUAACAUAUAACAGGUUUAAAAAAGGCAUGUGCUCACUUGAUAACAGUAAAAGGGAUCUGUCUUGGGAAUCUAUGGUUUUGUUUCUCAUUAUAAGGGUGCCCCCGAAAACAAAAUAUCCUUGUGCCAGGUGAGGGCACUUGUGAGCUCAUCAAACUGGGAUGGGGCUGUUCUGAAACUGCAAUGUCAGUGUCAUGCUUGAAAAAUGUCUAUUCAUUACAAAUCAGAAUAAUUAUUGACGACAGACUGGAAUAGGUGGGAGACAUCUCAUUAAACACAGCUAUUGGUAAAUGUAGGGGUACGCCUGUUUUCCCCUUAAAAAACUCUAUAUUUUUAAGGAAACAAUCCAACUAUCAGUUUAUGCAUGGAAGAAUCCCUAGACCUCAACAAUUAUCCCAGUCUGCAUCUGUAUUGGAAUCAAUUUUAACUGCUUUUUAUGUAUAGAAUUGUUCUUAAAUGUUAGUAUUGUUUUUAUGUUUUUUAUGUUUGGAAUUGUUUUAAAUAGUUUUUUAUUUAAAACCACACACCUUUUUUUCUUUUUUUGUGCUUUAUGACUGUAUCUUGUUUUAAUUGCUUUUCUAAUUGCAUAUAUUAUUGCCAUAAGCUGCCUAGCAACUUUUGGUAAAGGGCGUAAGGCAUAUUUUAAAAACUAUUGACCUAACUGUAUGACCUCUAUCUAUAGACCAGCCUUCACCAGCUUGUUCCUUCCAGAUGUUUUUGGACACCCAUCAGUUCCAUGGCUGUUCAUGGGACAUUUUGUGUAUCUGGAACAGCCUUCCCAAACCUUGUGUUCUCCAGAUGUUUUUGGAGAGCUGUGCUGGCUAGGGUUGAUGGGAGUUGUAGUCCAAAAUGUUUGGAAGUACUAGGGCAAAGAUCAGAAGGCAGGAUCAGAUUUAAUGGGCAUACAUGGAUUUUUGUUCAACAGUAGGAGAAACAUAUUGAUAGUAAGAGCAGUUUGACAAUGAAGCCAAUUAUGUGAUUGGUUCCAUGAGCCCCAUGUUGGGCAAAAAGAUGCCUGCAUUGCAGGGGGCGGGACAAGAUGAUCUAAAUGGUCCCUUCUAACUCUUCCAUUCUGUGAUUCUUUGAUAGUGGGGUGGUGGAUACUUUCUCAUUGGAGAGCUUCAUGCAGAAUUUGGGCAGCUAUCUGUAGUUGUGGAUUGGGCAGGGGUUGGGAUAGAUGACUCACAGGGACCCCUCCAGCUCUUUAAUUCUAUAAUGUGGAUAUUCAGGGCUUAUGUUAUGUGCUGCAGUGUUGGUGUUGGUCUUGGUGUUACAUUAUGUUAGUUUAUGGUUCACCUUUCAUAUAGAUUUCUUUUCUUUUUUAUUUUUUUAUUCAAAAUUAAAACAAAACAUAUUACCCAGAAACAUAUCAUCCUUAUUCCCCCCCCCCAUUUUUCCUCCCUCCCCCCACCCUCCCACACAAAACCCACGGACCCCCACUCCCCAGCUUCCCUCAGUUCCAGUCUUUGGUUUCUCUGAGAAUGCUGUUUUCUGCAUGUUACAAAGUUGUAUAGAUCCUCAAACUAUUUAGCUGAUUAUUAUCAAUAAAGAGUUUGUGAAUGUUUAUUCAAAGCCAGCCAAGGAAUCCAGUUUGCUUUGUUGCAUCUUCAGAUACUUUGUAAAGGGUUCCCAUUCAUCUGUAAAGUCACAGUUAUCCUUGUCCCAUAGAUUAUAUGUCAGUUUUGCCAGUUCUGCAUAGCCCAUCAAUUUUUCUUGCCAUGAUUCUUUAGUUGGGGUACCUUUCAUAUAGAUUUCAAGGCAAUUUGCAAUCAUACAAUAAAAACAAUUUAAAAUAGGCUUAAAACAAUAGAAAAUAGCAACUAAACUAAAAACAACACAAGAUAAACAUCAAAGGCAGAGGCCUUUUCAUCCUACUGGGAAAGUUUGUUGAUACAAAUAUAUAUAUUUAGUUGUUUCUGGAAAGUACAGAUAGCAAGUCCCUGUCAUAUCUCAACAGGGAUGCUGAUCCACAAAACAGGGGCCGUCACAGUGAAAGCCCUGCACUGAGUUGCUGUGGAGCAGGCUACUGAUAUUUCAAGAACUCCAAGGAAAGGCUGUCUUGCAGAACACAUUGACUUACUGGGGAUAUAAGGGGAUACUGAACUGUGCAAAACCUGGAGGAUGGUCAACAGCAUGAUCCAGUUCCAGUACACGUCAUGGGUAAAGAUUGCAUCCAUGCCCUGGUUUGAGGGUGAUUGUAGGUUUGUACUAGCAGCUAGGAUUGUUCGAUUGAUUUGCCUUUGUAUAUAACCUAUAUAUAUAUAUCCUUUAAAUUUUAAGCUUCUGCUAAAAAAUGGGAGCUGAGGCAGCCAUGGCUUCUCCUGCCCAUUUCCCCUGCCCCAGGCCUUCUCACCUGCUCCUCUCCCUGGCCUGCUGCAUUAUGCAUCUGCAGCACUAUUCAGUACAACAGGUGGUGAGCAAAAGGAGUGGGAGAGCAUCUGGAAGAAGCCACAAUUCCUUCUGUCUUGAUUCCACAGCACUGUGAAAGGUAAAGACGGAAACUGCAGCUGGCAACCAUUGGUGGCAUCCCCAGAUGCCUGAGAGAUAACAGCAACCUGGAAGAUGUCCAUGGCAUGGAAGCAAACAUAAUUAGGAGCCCUGGUGAGAAUAACGUUAAGAGAGAAGGCUGAAUGAGUGAAUGCCGGGGGAUAAUGAUAUUAGUGGACAAAUAUUUGAAGACUGGAAAAGCCAAGGAGGGCAUAAAAUAAUUCUGCAGAGUAUAAUUAGGGUAAUAUUUAAUUAAGAAUACUGAAAUUAAGAAUGAGGGCAUUAAAAAAAAAACCCAGAUGACUCUGAAAA